rnacentral:rRNA from 1 species
UACGGGGGGGGCAAGCGUUGUUCGGAAUUACUGGGCGUAAAGGGCUCGUAGGCGGCCAACUAAGUCAGACGUGAAAUCCCUCGGCUUAACCGGGGAACUGCAUCCGAUACUGGAUGGCUUGAGUUCGGGAGAGGGAUGCGGAAUUCCAGGUGUAGCGGUGAAAUGUGCAGAUAUCAGGAAGAACACCCGUGGCUAAGGCGGCUCUCUAGUACGGUACUGACGCUGAGACGCGAAAGCGUGGGGAGCGAACAGG